rnacentral:tRNA from 1 species
GGGCAUGUAGUGUAGGGGUUAUCGCGCCUCAUUUGCACUCGUUGAGGAGGUCUCCGGUUCAAUUCCGGACUUGUCCA